GAUGAACGCUGGCGGCGUGCCUAAUACAUGCAAGUCGAGCGAAUGGAUUAAGAGCUUGCUCUUAUGAAGUUAGCGGCGGACGGGUGAGUAACACGUGGGUAACCUGCCCAUAAGACUGGGAUAACUCCGGGAAACCGGGGCUAAUACCGGAUAACAUUUUGAACCGCAUGGUUCGAAAUUGAAAGGCGGCUUCGGCUGUCACUUAUGGAUGGACCCGCGUCGCAUUAGCUAGUUGGAGAGGUAACGGCUCACCAAGGCAACGAUGCGUAGCCGACCUGAGAGGGUGAUCGGCCACACUGGGACUGAGACACGGCCCAGACUCCUACGGGAGGAAGCAGUAGGGAAUCUUCCGCAAUGGACGAAAGUCUGACGGAGCAACGCCGCGUGAGUGUUGAAGGCUUUCGGGUCGUAAAACUCUGUUGUUAGGGAAGAACAAGUGCUAGUUGAAUAAGCUGGCACCUUGACGGUACCUAACCAGAAAGCCACGGCUAACUACGUGCCAGCCGCCGCCGUAA
rnacentral:rRNA from 1 species